UAAAGUUGAUGACAUUUAUUACAAUAGGUCGAUACCUACCUAGAUAACUACAUAACAUUGUAUUUUAUUUCGAAAUAAGAUAUAAGUACAUUUUAUAGAUCGUAGGUGACGUACCUAACUAGAUAAAUCUGUACAUUUAUUAGGUACCCAUAGGCUAAACUAGAUCACCAACCUUGGGGGUGCUAAAAUUAUAGACAUAUCACAGACCCAUAGAGGCAAUUAGUACCCUAACAAUCUACUUUACACGAUAC